CGGGAUCCUUGGCAGCUUGCUGCCGGGGUGAGAGUGGCGAACGGGUGAGUAAUGCGUGACCGACCUGCCCCAUGCACCGGAAUAGCUCCUGGAAACGGGUGGUAAUGCCGGAUGUUCCACAUGAGCGCAUGCGAGUGUGGGAAAGGCUUUUUGCGGCAUGGGAUGGGGUCGCGUCCUAUCAGCUUGUUGGUGGGGUAACGGCCUACCAAGGCGUUGACGGGUAGCCGGCCUGAGAGGGCGACCGGCCACAUUGGGACUGAGAUACGGCCCAGACUCCUACGGGAGGCAGCAGUGGGGAAUAUUGCACAAUGGGCGCAAGCCUGAUGCAGCGACGCCGCGUGCGGGAUGGAGGCCUUCGGGUUGUAAACCGCUUUUGUUCAAGGGCAAGGCACGGUUUCGGCCGUGUUGAGUGGAUUGUUCGAAUAAGCACCGGCUAACUACGUGCCAGCAGCCGCGGUAAUACGUAGGGUGCAAGCGUUAUCCGGAUUUAUUGGGCGUAAAGGGCUCGUAGGCGGUUCGUCGCGUCCGGUGUGAAAGUCCAUCGCUUAACGGUGGAUCCGCGCCGGGUACGGGCGGGCUUGAGUGCGGUAGGGGAGACUGGAAUUCCCGGUGUAACGGUGGAAUGUGUAGAUAUCGGGAAGAACACCAAUGGCGAAGGCAGGUCUCUGGGCCGUUA
rnacentral:rRNA from 1 species